AGAGUUUGAUCCUGGCUCAGGCGGCAGGCUUAACACAUGCAAGUCGAGGGGCAGCAUAAUGGAUAGCAAUAUCUAUGGUGGCGACCGGCGCACGGGUGCGUAACGCGUAUGCAACCUACCUUUAACAGGGGGAUAACACUGAGAAAUUGGUACUAAUACCCCAUAAUAUCAUAGAAGGCAUCUUUUAUGGUUGAAAAUUCCGAUGGUUAGAGAUGGGCAUGCGUUGUAUUAGCUAGUUGGUGGGGUAACGGCUCACCAAGGCGACGAUACAUAGGGGGACUGAGAGGUUAACCCCCCACACUGGUACUGAGACACGGACCAGACUCCUACGGGAGGCAGCAGUGAGGAAUAUUGGUCAAUGGACGCAAGUCUGAACCAGCCAUGCCGCGUGCAGGAUGACGGCUCUAUGAGUUGUAAACUGCUUUUGUACGAGGGUAAACUCACCUACGUGUAGGUGACUGAAAGUAUCGUACGAAUAAGGAUCGGCUAACUCCGUGCCAGCAGCCGCGGUAAUACGGAGGAUUCAAGCGUUAUCCGGAUUUAUUGGGUUUAAAGGGUGCGUAGGCGGUUUGAUAAGUUAGAGGUGAAAUUUCGGGGCUCAACCCUGAACGUGCCUCUAAUACUGUUGAGCUAGAGAGUAGUUGCGGUAGGCGGAAUGUAUGGUGUAGCGGUGAAAUGCUUAGAGAUCAUACAGAACACCGAUUGCGAAGGCAGCUUACCAAACUAUAUCUGACGUUGAGGCACGAAAGCGUGGGGAGCAAACAGGAUUAGAUACCCUGGUAGUCCACGCAGUAAACGAUGAUAACUCGUUGUCGGCGAUACACAGUCGGUGACUAAGCGAAAGCGAUAAGUUAUCCACCUGGGGAGUACGUUCGCAAGAAUGAAACUCAAAGGAAUUGACGGGGGCCCGCACAAGCGGAGGAACAUGUG
rnacentral:rRNA from 1 species